GUAGGUGGCAAGCGUUGUCCGGAAUUAUUGGGCGUAAAGCGCGCGCAGGCGGUUCUUUAAGUCUGAUGUGAAAGCCCACGGCUCAACCGUGGAGGGUCAUUGGAAACUGGAGAACUUGAGUACAGAAGAGGAAAGCGGAAUUCCACGUGUAGCGGUGAAAUGCGUAGAGAUGUGGAGGAACACCAGUGGCGAAGGCGGCUUUCUGGUCUGUAACUGACGCUGAGGCGCGAAAGCGUGGGGAGCAAACAGGGAUUAGAUACCCUGGUAGUCCACGCCGUAAACGAUGAGUGCUAAGUGUAGGGGGGGUUUUCCGCCCCCCUUAGUGCUGCAGCUAACGCAUUAAGCACUCCGCCUGGGGAUACGGCCGCAAGGCUG
rnacentral:rRNA from 1 species